rnacentral:rRNA from 1 species
GACGAACGCUGGCGGCGUGCUUAACACAUGCAAGUCGAACGAAGUGGCGAACGGGUGAGUAACGCGUAAUCCACCUGCCCUUCAGAGGGUGCCAACAGUUGGAAACGACUGCUAAUACCGCAUACUGAAGGAGGGGAUUGCGUCUGAUUAGCUAGUUGGAGGGGUAACGGCCCACCAAGGCGAUGCUCAGUAGGCGGGUUGGGAGGAUGAACGGCCAACUUGGGACUGAGACACGGCCCAGACUCCUACGGGAGGCAGCAGUGGGGAAUCUUCCGCAAUGGACGAAAGUCUGACGGAGCAACGCCGCGGUAGGGAUGACGGCCUUCGGGUUGUAAAGCUCUGUUAAUCGGGACGCGGUACCGAAAUAGAAAGCCACGGCUAACUACGUGCCAGCAGCCGCGGUAAUUC